CGGAGGUGCAAGCGUUAUCCGGAUUUAUUGGGUUUAAAGGUCCGUAGGCGGACGUAUAAGUCAGUGGUGAAAGCCUGUCGCUUAACGAUAGAACUGCCAUUGAUACUGUAAGUCUUGAGUAUAUUUGAGGUAGCUGGAAUAAGUAGUGUAGCGGUGAAAUGCAUAGAUAUUACUUAGAACACCAAUUGCGAAGGCAGGUUACCAAGAUAUAACUGACGCUGAGGGGACGAAAGACGUGGGGAGGCGAACAGGAUU
rnacentral:rRNA from 1 species